rnacentral:rRNA from 1 species
AGUCGAACGGUAGCACAGGGGAGCUUGCUCCCCGGGUGACGAGUGGCGGACGGGUGAGUAAUGUCUGGGGAUCUGCCCGAUGGAGGGGGAUAACUACUGGAAACGGUAGCUAAUACCGCAUAACCUCGAAAGAGCAAAGUGGGGGACCUUCGGGCCUCACACCAUCGGAUGAACCCAGAUGGGAUUAGCUAGUAGGUGGGGUAACGGCUCACCUAGGCGACGAUCCCUAGCUGGUCUGAGAGGAUGACCAGCCACACUGGAACUGAGACACGGUCCAGACUCCUACGGGAGGCAGCAGUGGGGAAUAUUGCACAAUGGGCGCAAGCCUGAUGCAGCCAUGCCGCGUGUAUGAAGAAGGCCUUCGGGUUGUAAAGUACUUUCAGCGGGGAGGAAGGGAUGAAGGUUAAUAACCUUCGUCAUUGACGUUACCCGCAGAAGAAGCACCGGCUAACUCCGUGCCAGCAGCCGCGGUAAUACGGAGGGUGCAAGCGUUAAUCGGAAUUACUGGGCGUAAAGCGCACGCAGGCGGUUUGUUAAGUCAGAUGUGAAAUCCCCGGGCUCAACCUGGGAACUGCAUUUGAAACUGGCAAGCUUGAGUCUCGUAGAGGGGGGUAGAAUUCCAGGUGUAGCGGUGAAAUGCGUAAGAUCUGGAGGAAUACCGGUGGCGAAGCGGCCCCCUGGACAAGACUGACGCUCAGGUG